rnacentral:rRNA from 1 species
CCUACGGGAGGCAGCAGUGCGGAAUAUUGGUCAAUGGACGAAAGUCUGAACCAGCCACGUAGCGUGAAGGAUGAAUGCCCUCUGGGUUGUAAACUUCUUUUAUAAAGGAAUAAAACGAGGCACGUGUGCCUUUUUGCAUGUCCUUUAUGAAUCAGGCUCGGCUAACUCCGUGCCAGCAGCAGCGGUAAUCCGGAGGAUCCGAGCGUUAUCCGGAUUUAUUGGGGUUAAAGGGAGCGUAGAUGGGUUGUUAAGUCAGUAGUGAAAGGUUGCGGCUCAACCGUAAAAUUGCAAUGGAUACUGGCAGGCUUGAGUACAGUUGAGGUAGGCGGAAUUCGUGGUGUAGCGGUGAAAUGCUUAGAUAUCACGAAGAACCCCGAUGGCGAAGGCAGCUUACUAAACUGUGACUGACAUUGAUGCUCGAAAGUGUGGGUAUCAAACAGGAUUAGAUACCCUUGUAGUC